UUUCGCAAUGCCCGAAAGGGUGACGAAGCGACGCCGCGUGCGGGAAGAAGGCCUUCGGGUUGUAAACCGCUGUCGGGAGUUAAGAAAUGUAAGGAUGUUAAUAGCAUCUUUGCUUGACUAAGGCUCCGGAGGAAGCCACGGCUAACUCUGUGCCAGCAGCCGCGGUAAUACAGAGGCGGCAAGCGUUGUUCGGAAUUAUUGGGCGUAAAGAGCACGUAGGCGGCUAUGUAAGUCGGUUGUGAAAGCCUUCCGCUCAACGGGAGAACUGCAUCCGAUACUGCAUGGCUUGAGUGCGGGAGGGGAGAGUGGAACUUCUGGUGGAGCGGUGAAAUGCGUAGAUAUCAGAAGGAACGCCGGCGGCGAAAGCGGCUCUCUGGCCCAUAACUGACGCUGAGUGUGCGAAAGCUAGGGGAGCAAACGGGAUUAGAUACCCCGGUAGUCCUAGCCGUAAACGAUGGGCACUAAGUAGAGGGGUUUUA
rnacentral:rRNA from 1 species